AUUGAACGCUGGCGGCAGGCCUAACACAUGCAAGUCGAGCGAGCGGCGGACGGGUGAGUAAUGUCUGGGAAACUGCCUGAUGGAGGGGGAUAACUACUGGAAACGGUAGCUAAUACCGCAUACCCUCAGAUGUGCACAGAUGGGAUUAGCUAGUAGGUGGGGGAACGGCGCACCAAGGCGACGAUCCCUAGCUGGUCUGAGAGGAUGACCAGCCACACUGGAACUGAGACACGGUCCAGACUCCUACGGGAGGCAGCAGUGGGGAAUAUUGCGCAAUGGGCGCAAGCCUGAUUCAGCCAUGCCGCGUGUGUGAAGAAGGCCUUCGGGUUGUAAAGCGCUUUCAGCAGGGAGGCGUUACCCACAGAAGAAGCACCGGCUAACUCCGUGCCAGCAGCCGCGGUAAUUC
rnacentral:rRNA from 1 species